GCAAGGGAGUAUUUUCUUUUUAUGAAAAACAACAACAACACAAAACAAAAAAUAUUAAACCCAAAUAAUACUCUGGUGCUGCACUAGCUUUUCCAGUUUGAGCCAUCCAUGUCACCACACAGUGCUGCCUCACAUAUGCCUUCUCCAGCUUCACCUUCUGCAUAGGCCCUGACACGAUUCCAGCAGCCUCCUAACCAUGUGCUACUUUGAGACCCCCCCCCCAAAGAGUGAGCCUAGCUGCCAUAAGGGGUCAGUGAAGCCUUAUUUUUCACUGCUGCCACUGAAGCAGUCCCAGAUCAGCAUUCUACUGCACAGUGGUUUGGCAUGUGUAUUUAACAUCUGCCAAGAGGCAAAAGCUAAAACGAAAAGAGUGAUUGUGGUAUGCCUUCUUUCCCAUGCAGUUUGUUCCUGUGGAGUUAACACUUUUUUUUGUUUGUUCGUUUGUUCUUUUCCCCAGUUCUGCUGCUCUCUUCCUUCAACACAGCUCCAAUUAAGACUUUUGAGCCAGUAAGGUUGUUAACUUAAUCUUCCCAUCCAUAGAGGCAGUGAGGCAGGUCCCACAGUCCAUGGCUGUGCUCCAGUCCACUGUGACAACAGGAGCUCGGUGUCCUCCCAGGGAAAGGCAGCUCUCCAGGACCUUGUCCUCACCGUUCAACUUAAAAAUGACUCCCCCAGUUGAAGAACAUGUCAGCAUAUAGUUCCCCUCAGAGUCAAAGGCAA
rnacentral:lncRNA from 1 species